rnacentral:rRNA from 1 species
UACGUAGGGUGCGAGCGUUGUCCGGAAUUAUUGGGCGUAAAGAGCUCGUAGGCGGUUUGUCGCGUCGACUGUGAAAACCUACAGCUUAACUGUGGGCUUGCAGUCGAUACGGGCAGACUUGAGUUCGGUAGGGGAGACUGGAAUUCCUGGUGUAGCGGUGAAAUGCGCAGAUAUCAGGAGGAACACCGGUGGCGAAGGCGGGUCUCUGGGACGAUACUGACGCUGAGGAGCGAAAGCGUGGGGAGCGAACAGG